rnacentral:rRNA from 1 species
UACGGGGGGGGCAAGCGUUGUUCGGAAUUACUGGGCGUAAAGGGCUCGUAGGCGGCCAACUAAGUCGGACGUGAAAUCCCCAGGCUCAACCUGGGAACUGCGUCCGAUACUGGCUGGCUUGAAUCCGGGAGAGGGAUGCAGAAUUCCAGGUGUAGCGGUGAAAUGCGUAGAUAUCUGGAGGGAUACCGGUGGCGAAGGCGGCAUCCUGGACCGGCAUUGACGCUGAGGAGCGAAAGCCAGGGGAGCAAACGGG